UACAAUUUAACCCUGGUUGGAAUAUAGAAAUAGACUUAAUGAUGCUAUAUACGUUAGUUAUAUUUGUGCUUUUUCUCAAAUAUAUAAAUUUGAGAUGAUUGUAGUAGUGAGAUCUGUCUUUUAUAAAGAAAUUUAGUGAUGGUUGUUAAGUGAUAGAAGGGGCGGAAGCACAGUGCCAGCAGCCGCGGUUAUACUGUAAUUCUUCUUAUUUCUUUUUUGGUUAAAACUUUUAUUGAAUUUUAGAUGAAAUUUGUUAGUAAAAUAGGUUUCAAUUGGAAAUUAUUUCAAUAAUAAUAUAAAGCUCCAGUUUAAAAAUAGGGAUUAGAUACCCCUUUAUUAGGUUGAAGAAAUUUUUGUCCACGGUUAGAAACUGAAAGGGUUUGGCAGCAAACUAAAUUCUUCCGGGGGAAGGUGCUUAUUAAAGAGAUGAUCCGCUUACUAUUUUACUAUACCUAAUGUUAGUGUAUAUCCGUUUGUAUAUUCACGCUUAGAGGUAAUAAGUGGGUAAAUAUUAAUUAAUUUAAGGCAGGUCUAUAUGCUGCUUAUGGUAUAGGUUAUUGUGCGUUACAAUUAAAAGUUUAAAUACUUAAUAGUAUUUUUGUUUUGGGACUCGGAAGUAGGAGUGUAAUAGUAUGUCACUUCGAAGGUUGAAAUAGUUUGGGUACACAUCGCCCGACAAUCUCGAUGUGUAAUUGAGUUAAGUCGUAAC
rnacentral:ncRNA from 1 species